UGAUCAGAACAGGAAGAGGAAAAAAGAGAUUUUGAGAGAUUUUGGAGAAAUUGAGGUGCUUUCUAUUGAAAUUUCCAAUUGGAUGGCUUUGAGGUAAAGAGUUAAUCAUCUGGGCACGUGUUAAACCGGAACUUGAAGCUGCAAAACGAAGAGAGAGGGAAUUACGAAGUUUCUGAGUUUGGCCGACCGAAGAAGAGGAAAGAGUUGUUUUCGAAUUACGGUCGUUCUUGGGAAGGAAAAUUGGGAAAAAUGCAACCAAAUUAAAGCGGAAGUAAGAAGAAGCUCAUAGGGGUCUUUAUUUGAAGAAAUUUGGCUGAAAAAGUAAGAAAAACGAAGAAAAACAGUGGCGCUAGAGUUAUAGCAAAAACAGAGGAUGCUCGGAUUUUUAGCAAAUUCAUGAAGUUAGAGGAUAAUUCGAAGCUCCAAAUUUAAAGGGGUACCGUGGAGAGUUUGACCGAUUCCGGGAGUUCUAGGGCAAUUCGGACGUCCAAACUUUGAGGGUAAACGGGAGAUGGAGAAAUCGAAAUUGUGAGGACGAGUCGAUUAACAGUAUGGAAAGGAAAUCUGGAUCGGGGUGUGAUACUGAGGAUAGUAGAGAAGACUUUAGUGGUGGUCUACUGUUGAAAUUGAAGAAGAAAUCAGAGAGGAUUCAAGCAAUUCGGAGGAAUCUACAAAGGUUGUAUACUAGAAACCCUAGUUCUGUUUUCUUCUUGAACAUGCAUUCUAAUUAGCUAAAAUUAAUAUAGUUAGAGUACUUCGAUCCUUAAUUUCUUUUGUAUGUUCA